AGGAGCCGAGGGCAGGAGAGGAGCUUGAAGGAUGAGGAGGCGAUUAUACUUAUGAGCAUCGCCAGCAAUGACAGGGCCCAUAUGCUGGCCGAACCACAGGACGCCAUGAAAUUGAUUGUUCUCGAGCCAACCACGGGAAAACAGUGGUUCCUGGGACCCAUCUUGGUGGAUUUCAAGUUGGGAGAAUCAGGAGCCUGCCAGCACUGGUCUUCAGCUACGAUGCCUCUACAGAAGCCGCUAUCCCACGCCAGUCAUUCGAGGCACGCUACCACAGCCAUGAAGGAACGCUCGGACAUCUUUUUGCUGCAGGACGAAUACGAGGACCUCACCCCAGAGCAGAACCGAAGCAGCCGACCAUGCAGAACCACGGGGUGUCGCUGGUUAGCGACCUAUUUCCGUGCUAACGCGAGGGCGCCUUCCCCGUGCGACGAC